UGACGGAGGCCAGGGAGUAUUUCCUUGCCGGAAGGCCCGGGUAAUCUUGUUAAAUUCCUUCGUGCUGGGGAUAGAGCAUUGCAAUUAUUGCUCUUCACGAGGAAUCCUAGUAAGCGCAAGUCACAGCUGCGUUGAUACGUCCCUGCCCUUUGUACACACCGCCCGUCGCUACUACCGAUUGAUGGCUCAGUGAGGCUUCCGGAACUGGCCCAGAGAGGUGGGCAACUACCACUCAGGGCCGGAAAGCUCUCCAAACUCGGUCAUUUAGAGGAAGUUAAAAGUCGUAACAAGUCUCCGUUGGUGAACSASCGGAGGGAUCAUUACCGAGUUUACAAAACUCCCAAACCCCUGUGAACUAUACCUGUCACUGUUGCUUCGGCGGUACCGACCCCCCGGGAAACCGGGACCAGGCGCCCGCCGGGGAUCCUAGUAACAUCUUGAAUCUUCUAUAUAAUAUGGCAUCUUCUGAGUGGUGGGAAAAAAAUGAAUCAAAACUUUCAACAACGGAUCUCUUGGUUCUGGCAUCGAUGAAGAACGCAGCGAAAUGCGAUAAGUAAUGUGAAUUGCAGAAUUCAGUGAAUCAUCGAAUCUUUGAACGCACAUUGCGCCCGUCAGUAUUCUGGCGGGCAUGCCUGUUCGAGCGUCAUUACGCCCCUCAAGCCCCCUGUGGGUUUGGUGUUGGGGAUCGGCGAAGCUUUUUUCAGCACGCGCCGUCCCUUAAAUUUAUUGGCGGUCUCGCCGUGGCCUUUCCUCUGCGCAGUAGUAACUCACUCGCAACGGGAGCCCGGCGCGGUCCACUGCCGUAAAACCCCCCAAUCAACUUUGUUACAGUUGACCUCGAAUCAGGUAGGACUACCCGCUGAAACUUAAGCAUAUCAAUAAAGCGGAGGAAAAGAAAACCAACAGGGAUUGGCCCAAGUAAACGGCGAAGUGGAAGCCGGCAAACAGCUUCAAAUUUGAAAUUCUGGGCCCCCCCCCGGGGUUCCGAAUUUGUAAUUUUGCAAAAGGAAUGCUUUUGGGCGAGUUGCCCUUCCCGAAGUUCCCUGGGAAAACGGGGAACGCCAUUAAGGGGUGAAGAAGCCCCCGUCUUGGUUGGGAACACCCGAAGCCCCCCUGUAAAGCUUCCUUGAACAAAUCAAGUAAUUUUGGGGAAAUGGCUGCUCCUAAAAUGGGAUGGGAUAUUUGUCUUUCUUAAAAGCUAAAAUUACUGGGGCCC
rnacentral:rRNA from 1 species